ACGAACGCUGGCGGCGUGCCUAAUACAUGCAAGUAGAACGCACAGUUUAUACCGUAGCUUGCUACACCAUAAACUGUGAGUUGCGAACGGGUGAGUAACGCGUAGGUAACCUGCCUGGUAGCGGGGGAUAACUAUUGGAAACGAUAGCUAAUACCGCAUAAUAUUGAUUAUUGCAUGAUAAUUGAUUGAAAGAUGCUAUUGCAUCACUACCAGAUGGACCUGCGUUGUAUUAGCUAGUAGGUGAGGUAACGGCUCACCUAGGCGACGAUACAUAGCCGACCUGGGAGGGUGAUCGGCCACAGUGGGACUGAGACACGGCCCAGACUCCUACGGGAGGCAGCAGUAGGGAAUCUUCGGCAAUGGACGAAAGUCUGACCGAGCAACGCCGCGUGAGUGAAGAAGGUUUUCGGAUCGUAAAGCUCUGUUGUAAGAGAAGAACGGGUGUGAGAGUGGAAAGUUCACACUGUGACGGUAUCUUACCAGAAAGGGACGGCUAACUACGUG
rnacentral:rRNA from 1 species